CCUACGGGAGGCAGCAGUGAGGAAUAUUGGUCAAUGGGCGGGAGCCUGAACCAGCCAAGCCGCGUGAGGGAAGAAGGUACAGCGUAUCGUAAACCUCUUUUGUCAGGGAACAAAGGCGGGGACUAGUCCCCGGAUGAGGGUACCUGAAGAAAAAGCAUCGGCUAACUCCGUGCCAGCAGCCGCGGUAAUACGGAGGAUGCGGGCGUUAUCCGGAUUUAUUGGGUUUAAAGGGUGCGCAGGCGGCCUGUUAAGUCAGCGGUAAAAGCCCGGGGCUCAACCCCGGCGAGCCGUUGAAACUGGCGGGCUGGAGUGGGAGAGAGGUACGCGGAAUGCGCGGUGUAGCGGUGAAAUGCUUAGAUAUCGCGCAGAACCCCGAUUGCGAAGGCAGCAUACCGGCUCCACACUGACGCUGAGGCACGAAAGCGUGGGUAUCGAACAGGAUUAGAUACCCGUGUAGUC
rnacentral:rRNA from 1 species